rnacentral:rRNA from 1 species
UACAGAGGUCUCAAGCGUUGUUCGGAAUUACUGGGCGUAAAGGGCCAGUAGGCGGCCAACUAAGUCGGAUGUGAAAUCCCCAGGCUUAACCUGGGAACUGCAUCCGAUACUGGAUGGCUUGAGUUUGGGAGAGGGAUGCGGAAUUCCAGGUGUAGCGGUGAAAUGCGUAGAUAUCUGGAGGAACACCGGUGGCGAAGGCGGCAUCCUGGACCAACACUGACACUGAUGAGCGAAAGCCAGGGGAGCAAACGGG